rnacentral:tRNA from 1 species
GCGCCUGUAGCUCAGGGGAUAGAGCAACGGUUUCCUAAACCGUAGGUCGGAGGUUCGAAUCCUCUCAGGCGCA